UCUACAACAUUUGAAGCACCGCUUUUCAACCCCUCAUAAGAAUAAAAAGAACACAGAACAACUCCAAAACCUGCAAAGACGUGGCCCUUGCAGAAGCAGCCAAGGAAUUCAACCGAUGGUAACUCUGGAGGAGUUGAAGGUGGCCGAAUCUGUCUGCACGACAACCAUCAGUACAGCAUCCACAGAACUGGCCUUCGUGAAAGAGUGAGGGCUGCCAGCAAGCAGUACAAUAACACCACUGGGUGCAGAUGAAGAUAAUGAAGAUUGAUGACCUGUCCAAGACUGCAACAGUCGGAGCGACGCAACCUGAAAGAAAUGGAAGUGGUUUGUCCAAAUGGACUCGACUGACAAGCAAUGGGAGGUAGAGUCUCCUCAUGGCCACCGCGGUUUUGGAUUCUUGAAUGGCGAGUGAUUUCUUGGACUCAUUGCAUCCUGUUGGCCUGAGGGAGUGGGGAGCCUCUGGCUGAUUAGAGGAAGCCCCAUAUCCGAUUCCACCCCCCUCCUCCCCCAGCCUCUACGAUGGUGCUACCCAGAUCUCAAUCAUCAAUGCAUCUAAAGCAAAGCAACGCUCUAACGUUUUUCAUGCUUAUCAACAAGAGCUAGAAGAUCUCUGAG